UACGAAGGGUGCAAGCGUUACUCGGAAUUACUGGGCGUAAAGCGUGCGUAGGUGGUUUGUUAAGUCUGAUGUGAAAGCCCUGGGCUCAACCUGGGAAUUGCAUUGGAUACUGGCAGGCUAGAGUGCGGUAGAGGAUGGCGGAAUUCCCGGUGUAGCAGUGAAAUGCGUAGAGAUCGGGAGGAACAUCUGUGGCGAAGGCGGCCAUCUGGACCAGCACUGACACUGAGGCACGAAAGGCGUGGGGAGCAAACAGGG
rnacentral:rRNA from 1 species